GAAAGUCCCAGCUGUUCUGACUCCACAGAACAUGCCCAGAGAACAGAGUUCCACAACAGGAAUGAGCCCCCGAUGUCUCCAGUGUCCUGCUCAUGUCUCUGAACACACCUGGAUUUCAGCUGCCUGCGACUGUAGUGCUCUGAUGAUGCGUAAACCAAUGUUCCACCCUGCGGAGAUGGAGUCUCUGUGCAAUGGAACACAGGCAAGCGCUAUACUUUUAACAACCAAAUGUCACUGUUGGUGCCUAUAAAUUUGACAGCCAAAGAAUAUGAACAUUGCUUCCAUCAAGAAAACAAAACACAGCUUCUUCAGGCUUUCCUUCGUCCAGAGAAUUUGGUCUCAGACUGGCCACUGGCCAGCUCCUGUCAAAGUUAGAGUUAAAACCAAUAAACUAUCAUUUGAGUUUUACAUAUGAUGUCAGAUGACUAAAAUCAAUAUUCUCGGACUGCGAAAGUUCUCUCCCCACCAGGCCGUAUUUUCUGUACCAGAGUUAGGAUGCUGUCCUGUUCAUAGAUUAAAAUUUCCUGCCUCUAAGGGACUGCUUCCUUGUAGCGGGGACG